GACGAACGCUGGCGGCGUGCCUAACACAUGCAAGUCGAACGGAGUAAGCUCUUCGGAACUUACUUAGUGGCGAACGGGUGAGUAACGCGUGAGAAACCUGCCUUUCAGUGGGGGACAACAGUUGGAAACGACUGCUAAUACCGCAUAAUGUUUCGAGAGGGCAUCCUCUUGAAACCAAAGCUCUAUGUGCUGAAAGAUGGUCUCGCGUCUGAUUAGCUAGUUGGUGAGGUAACGGCUCACCAAGGCGACGAUCAGUAGCCGGUCUGGGAGGAUGAACGGCCACAUUGGGACUGAGAUACGGCCCAGACUCCUACGGGAGGCAGCAGUGGGGAAUAUUGGGCAAUGGGGGAAACCCUGACCCAGCAACGCCGCGUGAAGGAAGAAGGCCUUCGGGUUGUAAACUUCUUUUACCAGGGACGAAGAACGUGACGGUACCUGGAGAAAAAGCAACGGCUAACUACGUGCCAGCAGCCGCCGUAACAC
rnacentral:rRNA from 1 species